rnacentral:tRNA from 1 species
GCGUCGGUGGCGGAGUGGUCAAUCGCACCUGACUGUAAAUCAGGCGUCUUCGGGCUUCGUAGGUUCGAAUCCUACCCGGCGCACCA